rnacentral:rRNA from 1 species
AUUGAACGCUGGCGGCAUGCCUUACACAUGCAAGUCGAACGGCAGCACGGGGCAACCUGGUGGCGAGUGGCGAACGGGUGAGUAAUGCAUCGGAACGUACCUUUCAGUGGGGGAUAACGUAGCGAAAGUUACGCUAAUACCGCAUAUUCUGUGAGCAGGAAAGCAGGGGAUCGCAAGACCUUGCGCUGAUUGAGCGGCCGAUGUCAGAUUAGCUAGUUGGUGAGGUAAAGGCUCACCAAGGCGACGAUCUGUAGCGGGUCUGAGAGGAUGAUCCGCCACACUGGAAAUGAGACACGGUCCAGACUCCUACGGGGGGCAGCAGUGGGGAAUUUUGGACAAUGGGGGCAACCCUGAUCCAGCCAUGCCGCGUGAGUGAAGAAGGCCUUCGGGUUGUAAAGCUCUUUCGGCCGGGAAGAAAUCGCACGGGCUAAUACCCUGUGUGGAUGACGGUACCGGAAUAAGAAGCACCGGCUAACUACGUGCCAGCCGCCGCGGUAAGAC